rnacentral:rRNA from 1 species
UACGUAGGGUGCAAGCGUUGUCCGGAAUUAUUGGGCGUAAAGAGCUCGUAGGCGGUUUGUCGCGUCUGCUGUGAAAUCUGGAGGCUCAACCUCCAGCCUGCAGUGGGUACGGGCAGACUAGAGUGCGGUAGGGGAGAUUGGAACUCCUGGUGUAGCGGUGGAAUGCGCAGAUAUCAGGAGGAACACCGGUGGCGAAGGCGGGUCUCUGGGCAACAACUGACGCUGAGGAGCGAAAGCGUGGGGAGCGAACAGG